rnacentral:rRNA from 1 species
ACAGCAGUCGCCGCGGGAAUACGGAGGGGGCUAGCGUUGUUCGGAAUUACUGGGCGUAAAGCGCACGUAGGCGGCUUUGUAAGUUAGAGGUGAAAGCCCGGAGCUCAACUCCGGAAUUGCCUUUAAGACUGCAGAGCUAGCAGGUGAGAGAGGUGAGUGGAAUUCCGAGUGUAGAGGUGAAAUUCGUAGAUAUUCGGAAGAACACCAGUGGCGAAGGCGGCUCACUGGCGCAUACUGGACGCUGAGGUGCGAAAGCGUGGGGAGCAAACAGGAUUAGAUACCCCAGUAGUCCCUGUCUCUUAUAC